rnacentral:rRNA from 1 species
UAGGGAAUCUUCCGCAAUGGACGCAAGUCUGACGGAGCAACGCCGCGUGAGUGAAGAAGGAUUUCGGUUCGUAAAACUCUGUUGUUAGAGAAGAACAGCGCAUAGAGUAACUGUUAUGCGUGUGAUGGUACUUAACCAGAAAGGGACGGCUAACUACGUGCCAGCAGCCGCGGUAAUACGUAGGUCCCGAGCGUUGUCCGGAUUUAUUGGGCGUAAAGCGAGCGCAGGCGGUUAGAUAAGUCUGAAGUUAAAGGCAGUGGCUCAACCAUUGUAGGCUUUGGAAACUGUUUAACUUGAGUGCAGAAGGGGAGAGUGGAAUUCCAUGUGUAGCGGUGAAAUGCGUAGAUAUAUGGAGGAACACCGGUGGCGAAAGCGGCUCUCUGGUCUGUAAAUGACGCUGAGGCUCGAAAGCGUGGGGAGCGAACAGG